AUAAAAAAAAUUUGCCAGCUUCUAAAAAAUUAUGUUAGAUUAGUAUAUGAAUAAAUUUGUUGACUAAUGAAUAGUUUUUUUAAUAAUUUUUGUAGAUGUCGUUAGAAUACAUAUUAUCUCCAAAUCAAUGGUUCUCUGCUACGAUUACUCAAUUUGCAAAUCAUCAAUAUCUUAAAGAUUUUGUAGAACUUAUAGAUGCAGACGAUCAAGCUUCUUUAUUGUGCAGUCCAUUCCAUGGAUUCAUUUGCGGAAGUAUGUAUAAAAAGCAAAAUGAAAAAUUUAGCAGCAAAUUAAUACAUGAGUUCAUAAU
rnacentral:lncRNA from 1 species